rnacentral:lncRNA from 1 species
GGGAGGAUAGGGCUGAGUCACCUUCCUGCGGCACAUCCUCUGCUGAACUAGCUCAAUGCUGCAGCUGUUGAGCAGGUUGCCACUGGCCACAUUGGCCAUGCUGUCCCCGUUCCUAGCACAAGAAGCUCCAAGAAGCUGUGUAGCUAGUAGGCUGUUCAUUUCUGCCUCCAGGAAAUAGGUCAAGGUCAAAAAACCUCCAGAGACCAGAGGAGAGAGAAGCUUCCAGGCUCAGCUUCAUUCCACCUCCUGCCUCUAAGUGCUGUCAGAUUGGACUGCCAGUAGAACUGCCACAACCACCUGGCCUCAGGUCAAAAGUGAAGAAGCAGAGAGCACCGUCCACACCCUGCCUUGGAUCCAAAAGGCCUUCUUCACUGUCAAGGAUAACAGUAAAGAGAGUUCCAGAAAUGUGGUUUAGAACAAGAGCCCCCGUAGAGGUGAGGAAUUUCUCAAAGGUAAUAGUUUCCUGUUUCAUUUCAUCAGGAAAAUAUGGUUAAGAGUUUAAAUAAGUUGAAUCCUCAUUAAUAAAAUUCAUUCUAUUCUUAAAAUUAAACUUCAAC